CGCGGCCUAUCAGCUUGUUGGUGGGGUAAUGGCCUACCAAGGCGACGACGGGUAGCCGGCCUGAGAGGGCGACCGGCCACACUGGGACUGAGACACGGCCCAGACUCCUACGGGAGGCAGCAGUGGGGAAUAUUGCGCAAUGGGCGAAAGCCUGACGCAGCGACGCCGCGUGAGGGAUGACGGCCUUCGGGUUGUAAACCUCUUUCAGCUCUGACGAAGCGAGAGUGACGGUAGGAGCAGAAGAAGCACCGGCCAACUACGUGCCAGCAGCCGCGGUAAUACGUAGGGUGCAAGCGUUGUCCGGAAUUAUUGGGCGUAAAGAGCUCGUAGGCGGUUUGUCGCGUCGAAUGUGAAAACCCGGGGCUCAACUCCGGGCCUGCAUUCGAUACGGGCAGACUAGAGUUCGGUAGGGGAGACUGGAAUUCCUGGUGUAGCGGUGAAAUGCGCAGAUAUCAGGAGGAACACCGGUGGCGAAGGCGGGUCUCUGGGCCGAUACUGACGCUGAGGAGCGAAAGCGUGGGGAGCGAACAGGAUUAGAUACCCUGGUAGUCCACGCCGUAAACGCUGGGCGCUAGGUGUGGGGGUCCUUCCACGACCUCCGUGCCGCAGCUAACGCAUUAAGCGCCCCGCCUGGGGAGUACGG
rnacentral:rRNA from 1 species